GUUAGCUCAGUUGGCAGAGCGUCUGACUGUUAAUCAGAAUGUCGCUGGUUCAAGUCCAGC
rnacentral:tRNA from 1 species